ensembl:lncRNA
AGUCUGCUGUCACUUCUCGGUCUGAAUGUUGAUGGUGAUGUCAGCUACCUGACGUUUCAGGCAUUGGCCUGUCUGGAACAGCUUUGCAGGAACUUGAGGAGCCGCCUGCGUUUCUAAAGAGAUCCAAGUUUCUGCUCAGCCAAGCAAGGUACCAAACACCAUCUAUUAUAAAUGUUGCCUUGUUCAAUUACAUACACUACAGUUCAAAAGUUUGGGGUUGGUAAGGUUUAAAAAUGUUUUAAAUGCUCUUUAAAAUGCUCUUAUACAGUAAAAGCAGUAAUAUUGAGAUAUAUAUUUUUUUUAUAUAAUUAAAUUAUAAAUAAAUUAUAUAUUAUUAUAAUAUUGAGAUAUAAUUAUUAUAUAUUAUUAUGUUUAUUAUUUUUGUGAGAACUGUAAAACAUUUUUCAAAGAACAGCAUUAUAACAAAUAAAUGUCUUUACUGUCACUUUUGAUCAGUUUAAUGCAUCCUUGCUGAAUGAAGGUAUUCAUUUCUUUAAAAAACUCUUACUGACCCCAAACUUUUGAAGAGUUAUUGUUUAACUCUUGUUCUAAAAGUGAUUUUAAAAUUGGUGGAGAGGUACUUGAAGUUAAGAAAAAAUACUAAAUGCUAAAUAUUUCGCCCCUUUAGACUCUGUUUCUCAGAACUCGUCUAUUUCCUACCCUCAGGAGGUGAGGGCUACCCAGCGGUCUGGGGUCUCUUCUCCAGAGGAAAGCUCCCCCAGACCCUCUGUGGUGGGCAGAACUGGUCAGCGGGUAUGUGGGGAUGGCCAGGAUGGAGAUGCUGCCUCUUCUAGCGGUAGCAGCAGUCAGAGAGGGGCUCCCCCCAGGCCAGCCCAACAGUCUCCCCUCCCGCAGCCCCACCUGGAGCUCCCCCCAGAGAUGGAAGCGGAGGACUCACUGGAGCUGCAGCCUGGCUAGAUUUGCCGUGGCGGCCGUGGAGCACGUGCUCCCUCUCAUCAGGACAGGUGAGAGUCCUCUUAAAUCCUCUUUCCUGUUUCAAACGCAGCUACAGCUGCUGCCGUUCCCCUCAUGUGUGUGCUUCCAUUGCUCAUCAUAUUCCCCUCUUUUUUUUCUCAUCCCUGCCCUCUCAGAGAGCCUGAAGUUUUUCCAACGGGUGCUAGAGCUGCUGGCAGAGUCACAGGGGCUGCUGGGAAACAGCAUAGCCCCCGAGGUGUGGGGCGGGCACAGCCUGACUGUGACAGAGCUGGCAAGUGUCUUCAACAACCGUCCUCCACAGUGCAGAUCCAUAGCCAUGAGGCUGAUGUCUGCAUUAGUGCAUACAAACACACACCUGUCGCUGCUCCAUCUCACCCACUCCACUUACUCUGAGGCACAGAUGGUCAUUGUAGAACAUUAAGCUAUCAGCACAAAUCAGUCAUGGCACGACCGUUGUUUUUUUUAGGGCAGUUUCACCACUUAGAAGUCCCUGUUUGCUCCUGACAACUCAAUACAUCUGCUAUUUCCAUCUUAAACAUUUGUAUUUGUUUAAUCAAAUACAGUAAGACUUUAUAAUAAGCUGUAUCUCGUUUCAAUAUGGCAAUAUGGUCUCGUUUCGAUAGCAUUAGUUAAUGAAAUAGCUAACAUGAAAUAACAAUGAACAUACCUUUAGAGAAUUU